GCCAGACUCCUACGGGAGGCAGCAGUGAGGAAUAUUGGUCAAUGGGCGCAAGCCUGAACCAGCCAAGUCGCGUGAGGGAUGACGGUCCUAUGGAUUGUAAACCUCUUUUGUCGGGGAGCAAGGCCCGCCACGUGUGGCGGGAAGGAGGGGACCCGAAGAAAAAGCAUCGGCUAACUCCGUGCCAGCAGCCGCGGUAAUACGGAGGAUGCGAGCGUUAUCCGGAUUUAUUGGGUUUAAAGGGAGCGUAGGCCGGCCUUUAAGUCAGCUGUGAAAGUCCGCGGCUCAACCGUGGAAUUGCAGUUGAAACUGGAGGCCUUGAGUGCACACAGGGAUGCCGGAAUUCAUGGUGUAGCGGUGAAAUGCUUAGAUAUCAUGAAGAACUCCGAUCGCGAAGGCAAGUGUCCGGGGUGCAACUGACGCUGAGGCUCGAAAGUGCGGGUAUCAAACAGGAUUAGAUACCCUCGUAAG
rnacentral:rRNA from 1 species